rnacentral:rRNA from 1 species
AGACCAAGGGUUCCUGUCCAACGUUAAUCGGGGCAGGGUGAGUCGACCCCUAAGGCGAGGCCGAAAGGCGUAGUCGAUGGGAAGCAGGUUAAUAUUCCUGCACGACUUGUAAUUGCGAUGGGGGGACGGAGAAGGCUAGGUGGGCCAGGCGACGGUUGUCCUGGUGAAAGUGCGUAGGUGGUGUUUCUAGGCAAAUCCGGAGACACAACACUGAGACACGAGACGAACACACUACGGUGUGGAAGCCAUUGAUGCCCUGCUUCCAGGAAAAGCCUCUAAGCUUCAGAUUACAAGUCAUCGUACCCCAAACCGACACAGGUGGUCGGGUAGAGAAUACCAAGGCGCUUGAGAGAACUCGGGUGAAGGAACUAGGCAAAAUAGAACCGUAACUUCGGGAGAAGGUUCGCUCUUGACAGUGAAGUCCCUUGCGGAUGGAGCAGUUGGGAGUCGCAGUGACCAGAUGGCUGGGACUGUUUAUCAAAAACACAGCACUCUGCAAACACGAAAGUGGACGUAUAGGGUGUGACACCUGCCCGGUGCCGGAAGGUUAAUUGAUGGGGUUAGCGCAAGCGAAGCUCUUGAUCGAAGCCCCGGUAAACGGCGGCCGUAACUAUAACGGUCCUAAGGUAGCGAAAUUCCUUGUCGGGUAAGUUCCGACCUGCACGAAUGGUGUAACCAUGGCCAUGCUGUCUCCACCCGAGACUCAGUGAAAUCGAAUUCGCCGUGAAGAUGCGGUGUACCCGCGGCUAGACGGAAAGACCCCGUGAACCUUUACUACAGCUUGGCACUGAACAUUGAACCUACAUGUGUAGGAUAGGUGGGAGGCUUUGAAGGCGUGACGCCAGUUGCGCUGGAGCCGUCCUUGAAAUACCACCCUUGUAUGUUUGAUGUUCUAACGCAGGCCCCUGAAUCGGGGUCGCGGACAGUGCCUGGUGGGUAGUUUGACUGGGGCGGUCUCCUCCCAAAGAGUAACGGAGGAGCACGAAGGUUGGCUAAUCCUGGUCGGACAUCAGGAGGUUAGUGCAAUGGCAUAAGCCAGCUUAACUGCGAGACGGACAGGUCGAGCAGGUACGAAAGUAGGUCAUAGUGAUCCGGUGGUUCUGAAUGGAAGGGCCAUCGCUCAACGGAUAAAAGGUACUCCGGGGAUAACAGGCUGAUACCGCCCAAGAGUUCAUAUCGACGGCGGUGUUUGGCACCU